UACGUAGGGAGCAAGCGUUGUCCGGAAUCAUUGGGCGUAAAGCGCGUGUAGGCGGCUCGGUAAGUCCGCUCUGAAAGCCCGGGGCUCAACCCCGGGAGGCGGGUGGAUACUGCUGAGCUCGAGUCCGGAAGAGGAGUGUGGAAUUCCUGGUGUAGCGGUGAAAUGCGCAGAUAUCAGGAGGAACACCAGUGGCGAAGGCGGCACUCUGGGCCGGAACUGACGCUGAGGAGCGAAAGCGUGGGGAGCGAACAGG
rnacentral:rRNA from 1 species